UGCGAGGCCAGCGAGGGGCCCUGCCAGCUCCACUCCCACACAGCCCUCCUGAGCUGACGCCACGGGGCGGAGACGCCUACAGGAAGACCACCCGCCUCCCCGCCACAGAGGGCGCCUCCCACCCCGUGGUUCCAGGACCCUACCUCCAGCGCGUCUUCCUCGAGGGCCACCUGGGUGCUCGGCCCCUGGCCUCACAGACCGGCCAUGUAGUGGGACGGGAGAGAACCUGGUCGUCUGGCUCCGGGCCCUCCAGACCUAAGCUCACUGCCCAGGGCCCUGCUUCUCCCUGCCCCACCUGCCCCUGGGCAGGAACACCAGGGAGGGAGGGGAGGAGCUGGGCGGGGGCUCCUGCAGGGUGGCUCCCGGAGGAGGCCUGGGGACCCAGAGGCCGGGAGCCAUCAGCUUCACGAAGGCCCGGGCAGGGUGCUCUGGGCAGGUAGAGUCAGAGGCCCUGGGCAGGAACAGUGUGGCAAGUUGGAGGGCCACACUGGAGGCCCACGCACGGAGCUGUGAGCUGCAGAUGCCCUCUGCGUGCUCUGGAAGCCGGGGGGGGGGGGGGGCCCCACUGGGCCAGCGGCGCAGGGAGGUUUCCUUGAUGCAGGCCACCUGAUGAGCUGGGCUGAGGGGCAGGGCUCUGGAGACCAGGACCCCCCUGCGCCGCCCAGCCGCCUUCCCGCCUCGCGGACGCUGCCAGGACUGGGAAGCUCUUCUGGAACGCAGAGCAAGGGACGCAGCCUGUGACCAGGCCGCAGGAGUCUGCCCCCGGCCAGUUCCCGCAGUUGGGCGUAAGUGGUGAGAAACGGGCUGGAGGCCGGGAGAACCUGUUUUUCAGCCACCAGGGACGCGGCAGGGCACCCUGAGCUCUGGCCUUUAAGCAAAAGCCACAUCACCCCCCGGGGUCCAGGUCACCCACACGGAGGUUCAGGGUGUGUGCAAAAUGGUGUCCGGUGCAUGACAGGAAGGUCACUUGUUUUCUCUCUGGAAAGGACUCGUCCCCACUAGGACCAGCCGGCUGCACAUCCAGACAGUGUGUGCCUUGGCAGGGGCACCGAGGCUCCAGAGGCCUUGGGGAGCUCCCUGGGUCCCAGGAUGGCACAUGCACAGCUGACGGGGACUUCUGGGACAGCAGUUGCCCCCUCGAUAAUGCCUGGGCACCUGCUUCAUGCCCAGGACCCACACGGAUGGACACGCAGACGGACAGACUAUGCCCUGGUCCAGCUCAUGGGGGAGGAGGGGGGUCCUGCUUCCAACCCAGGCAGCCCCUGCUGGGCCCCUCUUCUGGGCCGCUGGGUCCCCCUGCUGGCUAAGUCCUCUCGUGUGCAGUCCUGAGGAAGGCCACCUUUCAUCAGAGGUUAAAGGGUCCCCUCCUGUUCCGGAAGCCCCAGCUCCCGGUGCCGUGACUCCACGGGACAGGCCCUCUGUCGAGUGGCAGCACUGGGUUACCACAGCGUUUCCCAGCUGUCCUUCGGGCCCUGCAGGAGGGACUGUGGCUUGACCCCGUGCGGCCCGCACUGCCUCUCCAGCCGGGGACCCGCUUCUGGCCUCUGCCUCUGGUGGCCGCGCCCACCCCUGCUUCUUCCAGGCCUGUUCAGACCCACCCAAGUACAAAGAGGGGCCGUGGGCAGCCUGGAGCGUGGACACCUGAAAGUGUGGGAAAGUCUCGGGCCCCAGCAGGCCCCAUGUGAGCGCCCAGGUGAGGAAGCCGCACAGGCCCGCGAGGGCCCAGGCUCUGGCUCUGGCUCUGGCUCUGGCUCUGGCUCUGGCUCUGGCUCUGUCGGUGCAGAACAUCUCUCACCGGGUCUCACCAGGGUCUCGCCCUGUGGUGCUGGCUGACGCUGGUCUGCUGUCACACCUUGGGAACAGGGAUGUCGUAGGCAGGCGGUGCUGAGGGCGGGCAGACAGAUGACCAUGGUGUCCGUGUCAGAGGCGGCAUGUCCUGGGCUGCCCUCUGUCCCCGAUCCUCCCACCCCAGCCUCCCAGUCCUUGGGAUCACAGGUGUGUGCCCUGUGCUGGCUGGAAACAGGGUCUUCAAAGAGGUGACUAAGAUAAAGUGAGGUCUCUAGGGCGGCCCUCCUCCAGUAGGACUGGGGUCCGUGGAGGAAGAGGCAACCAGGACACAGAUACACGGGGGACAUCAUGCAAGGACACAGAGAGACACAGGCCCGUCUCGGAGUGAAGCUCUCCUCAACGGCCGGUUCUCACAGGGAACCCUCAGCCUGGGACUCCAGACCAGCACACGGGUGGCAGAGAGGACCGACGCCCAGGCCCAGGCCCAGCACCAGGGCCCGGCUGGGCAUCGGUCCAUCCAGCCCAGCUGGUCUGUCGCCCCCUCCGGUUCCCCUGGGGGACGCUCAUUUCCUCCCCUGUGGAACCAGAGGCCAUCCUCCUAGGACGCCUCUGGGCCUCAACGGGCUCCCGCCCAGGGCACCUCGCUGGGCGCAGCCCGGCUCUUUUCAACCAGAUGUCGAUUCCUUGUCCACUGCUCGGCUCUUCCACCUGGACCAUGCAUUCUGGCGCCUGGACUUAUUGAUGUAUUUCCAGCGUCUGGCCUGGUGCCCGGCACGCGGCGGCAAGUGAAUGAAAUGUGAAAAAAUCACACUCUGUCAGAGCUGCGGCUGGCGAGGGGAGCUCCAGAGCAUCCCGGGGCCUUUCUGCUGCCCUGCGCAGUCCUGGAAGCCCCCGGAGGUGCUCAGAGCACAUGCACGGUGUCCGUCCCUGAGGUGUCCUCCAGGUGGCUCAGGAGGCACAGGCUCCCCGUGCUCUGCCUUCAGGGUGGCAGUAAGCACGGCUUCCCAGAGCCAGUGGAGGACUGGGUGUGGCUCAGUGACCAGUGCUUGCCUAGCAGGUGAGAGGCCCGGCGUUCUGUCCCCAGCACCGAAAAAAUGACACAGUCGCCAAAUUCCCAGCUGAUGUCAGCCUCCCAGCCGGGGAAUAACAACCGGGUUCUCUAUAAAUAUCUAAUGUUUAAAA